rnacentral:rRNA from 1 species
UACGUAGGGUGCAAGCGUUGUCCGGAAUUAUUGGGCGUAAAGGGCUCGUAGGCGGUUUGUCACGUCGGGAGUGAAAACUCGGGGCUUAACCCCGAGCCUGCUUCCGAUACGGGCAGACUAGAGGUAUGCAGGGGAGAACGGAAUUCCUGGUGUAGCGGUGAAAUGCGCAGAUAUCAGGAGGAACACCGGUGGCGAAGGCGGUUCUCUGGGCAUUACCUGACGCUGAGGAGCGAAAGUGUGGGAGGCGAACAGG